AGCGGCGGACGGGUGAGUAACGCGUGGGUAACCUGCCCUAUACACACGGAUAACAUACCGAAAGGUAUGCUAAUACGAGAUAAUGUAAGAGAUUCACAUGGAUUUCUUAUCAAAGCUGAGGCGGUAUAGGAUGGACCCGCGUCUGAUUAGCUAGUUGGUAAGGUAACGGCUUACCAAGGCGACGAUCAGUAGCCGACCUGAGAGGGUGAUCGGCCACAUUGGAACUGAGACACGGUCCAAACUCCUACGGGAGGCAGCAGUGGGGAAUAUUGCACAAUGGGCGAAAGCCUGAUGCAGCAACGCCGCGUGAGUGAUGAAGGCCUUCGGGUCGUAAAACUCUGUCCUCAAGGAAGAUAAUGACGGUACUUGAGGAGGAAGCCCCGGCUAACUACGUGCCAGCAGCCGCGGUAAUACGUAGGGGGCUAGCGUUAUCCGGAUUUACUGGGCGUAAAGGGUGCGUAGGUGGUCUCUUAAGUCAGGAGUGAAAGGCUACGGCUUAACCGUAGUAAGCUCCUGAAACUGGGAGACUUGAGUGCAGGAGAGGAAAGUGGAAUUCCUAGUGUAGCGGUGAAAUGCGUAGAUAUUAGGAGGAACACCAGUAGCGAAGGCGGCUUUCUGGACUGUAACUGACACUGAGGCACGAAAGCGUGGGGAGCAAACAGGAUUAGAUACCCUGGUAGUCCACGCCGUAAACGAUGAGUACUAGGUGU
rnacentral:rRNA from 1 species